GGGGACGUGGCGGAAUUGGUAUACGCACACGUUUGAGGGGCGUGGAUCGUAAGAUCGUGAGGGUUCAAGUCCCUCCGUCCCCACAA
rnacentral:tRNA from 2 species